rnacentral:lncRNA from 1 species
UUCAAUCAUCAUUAUUAUUAUAUAGUCCCCGCCUCUUGGAGGGUUUUCAAAAGCCAUAUUUAGGUCAAGCUUUUUAUAUGUUGUACAAAUUAUGAACAUAUGUUGAAAACUAUAAAUAGAACAGGUACUAGUGUUGAACCACAGAGAAAAUAAAAACGCGAAAAAUAGAAAGAGGAGAAGAAUACGUUGAUUUCGAGAAUAAUAAUGAUGAUUCAAAGGUUGAAGAUAUGCAUCGGAAUGGUGAAAUUGGCAUUUGAGUUUGUUGCGGUGUUUGUGAAAGCAGUUGGAAGUGUCAUCUCGGAUGAAGAGGAGAGGAACUACGUUGCUCAAACGCCAUACAUCGGCCUUCUUCCAUAAUUUUUGUCAUUUCAUUUAUUUACUGGUCCAACUUAUUCAGAUUUCAUAGAUAUAUGAUAACCGUAGUUUAGCUUUUUUUCUCCAUCGUGAGGCUUCAUGUAAAAAAGAGCUUUCUUUGGGAGAGAGAGAGAGAGAGGUGUUAGAGGUUAUUAGUUCCUUUUCCUUUUCUCUGUUGUAAUUUUUGUCUAGUCUGGUCUAACAGUAGUCCUUUUGACUUGUUCCCGGCCUUCAGGAUAUAACAGUCUAAUCAUAAAGUGUAACUCAAUAAAU